UACGGGGGGAGCAAGCGUUGUUCGGAUUUACUGGGCGUAAAGGGCGCGUAGGCGGCCACUGCAAGUCAGUUGUGAAAUCCCCGGGCUCAACCUGGGAAUGGCAUUUGGGACUGCAAGGCUAGAGUGUGGCAGAGGAGACUGGAAUUCCCGGUGUAGCAGUGAAAUGCGUAGAUAUCGGGAGGAAUACCGAUGGCGAAGGCAGGUCUCUGGGCUGACACUGACGCUCAUGCACGAAAGCGUGGGGAGCAAACAGG
rnacentral:rRNA from 1 species